UCCAAAAGUUGUUGGGUCUUGUUGGACAACCGAAUCCAUUGUUGUUGGGUCCUGUUGGGCAGCCGUGACCUAAUCUUCUUGGGUUUGGCUAUAGAGCUGACCUAAGAACAUUGGAUAGGGCUAUCCAGCUAAAUCCAACAACACUUUUUGACU
rfam:Populus trichocarpa scaffold_3_contig_238, whole genome shotgun sequence.